rnacentral:lncRNA from 1 species
CUGAGGAACUCGAGAAGCUGCCACAUCUGCCUAAAGAAACAAGCAGAGAAGAAUGCAGCAUGCACAGUUAACUCAGCAGAAAGAGUCUGAGAUGAAGAACUCGAGAAGAUGCCGCAUCUGCCUGAGGACGGUGAACUCGUUUUGACCCUCAAAUUCUUGGGUCGACUUACUAGGCGUUGUAGGCUGCACGUGUCGAUUCACCACCCUUGAAUCAAAUCCUUAAAGAUCAAGUCACCAACUGGAAGAAAAGCCCAUCAAUCUUGAAGAUCAUACCGUUGACCAAACUGCUCAGGUGAAUUAGAAAGAUUGAACAAAGAAACAGGUUGUCACCUUUACCUCGUGCCUGCUUGCCAUGUGUUCGAGUCAACCUUCAAGAAUCAAGCCUCAACGGCCCUUGAAGAAGCUUCCAGUCAAAUUCAAAAUCAAGCAUCGACGACCUUUGAGGAAAUUACAAGUCCGAUUCAAGAUUAAGUGUCUACCACCCUUGAAUCAAAACCUAGUUCAAGAAUAAGUGUCUACCACCCUUGAAUCAAAACCUAGUUCAAGAAUAAGCUGUGGAAAAUCAACAAUUGGAGGAAUCCAGAAAAUCCUUCAACACAGUUCAAGAUCAAAGCUGUGGAAAGUCAACAAGCGCAACAAAAUACGUGCCGAUUCACCCACUACCAAAGCCAAAGAUCAUCUACCACAUGAAGUUCCUUGUGGUUCAAUUUCAACCUUCAAGAUCAAGCCUCGACGGCCCUCGAAGAAAUUUCAAACAAAAAAUUCAAGAACAAGCCUCAACAGCCCUUGAAGAAAUCUCAAGCCCAAUUCAAGAUCAAGCCUCAAACGGCCCUUGAAGAAAUCUCCAGCCCAAUCCAAGAUCAAGCCUCGAAUGGCCCUUGGAUCGACAUCUACAGUAAGGGACUUCAAAACGCAUCUCCUACACGUGACAAUCACAUGUAUACGACACGCCUUGAAGUGGGGGCAUUUGUAGACAUCGAAAUUUCGGUAAAUAAAUGUUGACCGAUAAAUCAAAGUGUCAACGCUCAUGUAUUACAUAAAUUUUACACGUAGCGUGUGACUCAACGAAAAUUGAAAUGAGUUGGAAAAGUCAUCAAAUAAGACACGUGUCAACACCUGGCAGAAACGACUUAUUUCAUCUGGGAUAUUAUAUUCAAAAUUAGGCAUUGGAAAAUUCUAUAAAUACAAGCCUAUUUCAUUCAUUUUGGGGGGGGGAGGAAUUGAUAUUACACCUUGAAGCUCUGAAGCUCUAAAACUCCGAAACUCUCAAGCAUCUAGGUUCCCGAAGAAUCAAGAAAGCCUUCUUCGUUCUUCGUUCAUCGUUCUUCCAAGAUCAAGCCCCAACGGCCCUUGAAGAAAGUGUUUCUUCGUUCAUCGUUCUUCCAAGAUCAAGCCCCGACGGCC